rnacentral:rRNA from 1 species
GACGAACGCUGGCGGUAUGCUUAACACAUGCAAGUCGAACGCGAAGAAAGUGCUUGCACUUUUGGAAAGUGGCGAACGGGUGAGUAACGCGUGGGUAACCUACCCUAUGGAAAGGAAUAGCCCCGGGAAACUGGGUGUAAUACCUUAUAAGAUAUGACAGUCGCAUGGCUGACGUAUUAAACGCUCCGGCGCCAUAGGAUGGACCCGCGUCCCAUUAGCUAGUUGGUGAGAUAACAGCUCACCAAGGCUACGAUGGGUAACCGGUCUGAGAGGGCGAACGGUCACACUGGAACUGAGACACGGUCCAGACUCCUACGGGAGGCAGCAGUGGGGAAUAUUGCGCAAUGGGGGAAACCCUGACGCAGCAAUACCGCGUGAGUGAAGAA